rnacentral:rRNA from 1 species
UACGUAGGGGGCAAGCGUUGUCCGGAAUUAUUGGGCGUAAAGAGCGUGUAGGCGGUCCGGUAAGUCAGCUGUGAAAGUCAAGGGCACAACCCUUGAAUGCCGGUUGAUACUGUCGGGCUAGAGUCCGGAAGAGGCGAGUGGAAUUCCCGGUGUAGCGGUGAAAUGCGCAGAUAUCGGGAGGAACACCAAUGGCGAAGGCAGCUCGCUGGGACGGUACUGACGCUGAGACGCGAAAGCGUGGGGAGCAAACAGG